UGUUAGUGGCAGACGGGUGAGUAAUGCGUAGGAAUCUACCUAGUAGUAUGGAAUAGCCAUUAGAAAUGAUGGGUAAUACUGUAUAAUCCCUGCGGGGGAAAGAUUUAUCGCUAUUAGAUGAGCCUACGUUAGAUUAGCUAGUUGGUAAGGUAAUGGCUUACCAAGGCUAUGAUCUAUAGCUGGUCUGAGAGGACGAUCAGCCACACUGGAACUGAGAUACGGUCCAGACUCCUACGGGAGGCAGCAGUGGGGAAUAUUGGACAAUGGGCGAAAGCCUGAUCCAGCUAUGCCGCGUGAGUGAAGAAGGCCUUCGGGUGAAAA
rnacentral:rRNA from 1 species